rnacentral:lncRNA from 1 species
UUCAUACUCCUCCAACCCAGCACAUUUAUGAAAUCAUGUAGUGGUUAACCAAGACGUGUUUUUAAAGAAGAUGACUGAUGUUUAGAGUAUACUAUAAACUGAACUAGCUCUGAGAAUAUUUUCCCAAUGAAAGGUUUACUAGUUCCACUGGUGUUGCUGCUCUGUCAGUUAGGAGCACCUGAGAGCUUUCUAAGUGAAGACGCAUCCUCGGGCAAAAAGACAGCACUCCAACCUGACAUCUGGUCUGAGCUGAGAGAUCUGAGAGACAUGGUGGUGCUGCAGAGAGCAGAGCUGAGCCGCACCAUGGCUGAACUACGAGAUACUAAGAACCAGAUGGAGGGGCUAAAAACAGAGAUCUCAGUCAUGGAGUCCAGGCUGAUGAGUUCUGAAGGACAACUUGAGGCAAUGAAGACAGACAUGCAGCCAUAGUGAGCAGAGUAACAUCCGCUGAGAGUGAGGUUGAGAGACUACAGAAGGAGAAUGCAGGUAAAACAGAUAUGGAAUUAUGGUACUUUGUAAUAAUAUGUAAUGUGACUGAUUACUUUCUUCCCUUCCAUUUGUGAGUGUGAAAAAGUGAAUAAUCUACAUAUAUAUAUCGUUGUAUUCACCUCCAUUGAUAGAGAGACCUAAGGUCGCAUUUUCAACCUCUUUUGGAAAAACUGGACAGCAUGGGCCAUUCCACACUGCCACCACCGUGGUCUUCCAGAAUAUAUUCUCAAACACUGGCAACCACUACAACCAAGCUACAGGUGUCUUCACAGCACCGGUGAGAGGGGCCUACUACUUCGGCUUCACUAUUGGUGCAUAUCUCCAUUCCACUGUUAUGGGCCUAACACUGUUCAAGAAUGAACAACAGAUAAUUCAUACAGGGGAGUGGGGUAACCAUGGGCAGUUUAGGUAUGCAUCCAAUACCGUCAUACUACAGCUGGAGGAGGGAGAUGUCGUUUUUAUGCAACUCCCUGCAAACUACAG